rnacentral:lncRNA from 1 species
GAGCAACACAGGUAACUAUGUGGAAGAGCAGGAUAGAGCAACACAGGAAACUAUGUGGAAGAGCAGGAUAGAGCAACACAGGUAACUAUGUGGAAGAGCAGGAUAGAGCAACACAGGAAACUAUGUGGAAGAGCAGGAUAGAGCAACACAGGUAACUAUGUGGAAGAGCAGGAUAGAGCAACACAGGUAACUAUGUGGAAGAGCAGGAUAGAGCAACACAGGAAACUAACUAACUGCUCUGUAUUAUAGAGCUGACAUAGUGGACAUUCACAUCUUUUCCCAGCUAUUAAUGAAUGUUUUAAUGUUGCUGUACUGUUCAGACAGGAGCUGGACCAGGAGAAGAUUUACAGAGCGGCUCUAAGGAACAGAAUCAUUCCUCCUUAUUUCCACUCAGAGAAAGGAGCAGGUUUCGAGUACUCGGAGGUCCCUGAUAUGAGAUCUCUGUCUCAGGACCUUCCUCCAUUCCCCAACACUCCCAACUCCCAGAACUACCUCAGAGAUGCCCCUCGGGAGACAGCCCAGCGACCUUUGAACCCCACGCCCUCUCACGCAGCAGGAAGUGAUGCGCUGCCUAGGAGACCCACCAACCCCACCCCUCAAACUGCAGGUCUGCUCAGUACACGACUUAGACUUGGGUUAGUGUUAGGGUAAGAGUGGUGACAGCUGGUCUUACUGGGGUUCGAGUCAUAACGAAAAAGACAUUACAGACAAAUGACUUUACAAUUUACAUCAAUUUAAAAACCUUAGUGUGUGUGUGUGUGUGCGUCUAUCAGUUACACAUACAUGUCAGUACAUAAACACAACAAGUAUGUAUGUACUGCGGCGUUGUGCCGUGAGGUAUUGCUUUAUCAGUUUUUCUGGAUCUGUGGACUUUGAAAAGACCCCUGGUGGCAUGUCUGGUAGGCAGGGUUUGCACGAGGUGCUUGAAUUUGUUCUGAACCUGGGGACUUUGAAAAGACCCCUGGUGGCAUGUCUGGUAGGCAGGGUUUGCACGAGGUGCUUGAAUUUGGCACUCUGAAAUUCAAGUACUGGAAUACCUUGAAAAUCAGACAUUUACUCAAGUUGGUAGUUGAAAAGUUGUCCCACCUAGCCAUCGUAAGAUGAAUGCACUAACUGUAAGUGGCUCUGGAGAAGAGCGUCUGCUGAAUG